rnacentral:rRNA from 1 species
ACCCGCGGNCUAUCAGCUUGUUGGUGGGGUAAUGGCCUACCAAGGCGACGACGGGUAGCCGGNCUGAGAGGGCGACCGGCCACACUGGGACUGAGACACGGCCCAGACUCCUACGGGAGGCAGCAGUGGGGAAUAUUGCACAAUGGGCGCAAGCCUGAUGCAGCGACGCCGCGUGAGGGAUGACGGCCUUCGGGUUGUAAACCUCUUUCACCAGGGACGAAGCGNGAGUGACGGUACCUGGAGAAGAAGCACCGGCCAACUACGUGCCAGCAGCCGCGGUAAUACGUAGGGUGCGAGCGUUGUCCGGAAUUACUGGGCGUAAAGAGUUCGUAGGCGGUUUGUCGCGUCGUUCGUGAAAACUUGGGGCUUAACUCCAAGCGUGCGGGCGAUACGGGCAGACUUGAGUACUACAGGGGAGACUGGAAUUCCUGGUGUAGCGGUGAAAUGCGCAGAUAUCAGGAGGAACACCGGUGGCGAAGGCGGGUCUCUGGGUAGUAACUGACGCUGAGGAACGAAAGCGUGGGUAGCGAACAGGAUUAGAUACCCUGGUAGUCCACGCUGUAAACGGUGGGUACUAGGUGUGGGUUCCUUUUCACUGGUGUA